AAACUUACGCUAAUACCGCAUACGACCUACGGGUGAAAGUGGGGGACCUUAGGGCCUCACGCAGAAAGAUGAGCCGACGACCGAUUAGCUAGUUGGUGGGGUAAAGGCUCACCAAGGCGACGAUCGGUAGCUGGUCUGAGAGGAUGAUCAGCCACACUGGGACUGAGACACGGCCCAGACUCCUACGGGAGGCAGCAGUGGGGAAUAUUGGACAAUGGGCGCAAGCCUGAUCCAGCCAUGCCGCGUGUGUGAAGAAGGCCUUCGGGUUGUAAAGCACUUUUGUUCGGAAAGAAAUCUUCCAGCUUAAUACGUUGGGAGGAUGACGGUACCGGAAGAAUAAGCACCGGCUAACUUCGUGCCAGCAGCCGCGGUAAUACGAAGGGUGCAAGCGUUACUCGGAAUUACUGGGCGUAAAGCGUGCGUAGGCGGUUUGUUAAGUCUGAUGUGAAAUCCCCGGGCUCAACCUGGGACGUGCAUUGGAAACUGGCGAUCUAGAGUACGGUAGAGGGUGGUGGAAUUCCCGGUGUAGCAGUGAAAUGCGUAGAGAUCGGGAGGAACACUCGUGGCGAAGGCGGCCACCUGGACCAGUACUGACGCUGAGGCACGAAAGCGUGGGGAGCAAACAGGAUUAGAUACCCU
rnacentral:rRNA from 1 species